rnacentral:rRNA from 1 species
AGAGUUUGAUCAUGGCUCAGAGUGAACGCUGGCGGCAGGCCUAAUACAUGCAAGUCGAACGGCAGCACAGCAGAGCUUGCUCUGUGGGUGGCGAGUGGCGGACGGGUGAGGAAUACGUGGGAAUCUGCCCAGUCGUGGGGGAUAACGUAGGGAAACUUACGCUAAUACCGCAUGCGCCCUUCGGGGGAAAGCCGGGGACCUUCGGGCCUGGCGCGAUUGGAUGAGCCCACGUCGGAUUAGCUAGUUGGCGGGGUAAAGGCCCACCAAGGCGACGAUCCGUAGCUGGUCUGAGAGGAUGAUCAGCCACACUGGAACUGAGACACGGUCCAGACUCCUACGGGAGGCAGCAGUAGGGAAUAUUGGACGAUGGGCGCAAGCCUGAUCCAGCCAUGCCGCGUGAGUGAAGAAGGCCCUCGGGUUGUAAAGCUCUUUUGUCCGGAAAGAAAAGCGCCGGGUUAAUACCCUGGUGUCCUGACGGUACCGGAAGAAUAAGCACCGGCUAACUUCGUG